AUUGAACGCUGGCGGCAGGCCUAACACAUGCAAGUCGAACGGUAACAGGAAGCAGCUUGCUGCUUCGCUGACGAGUGGCGGACGGGUGAGUAAUGUCUGGGAAACUGCCUGAUGGAGGGGGAUAACUACUGGAAACGGUAGCUAAUACCGCAUAACGUCGCAAGACCAAAGAGGGGGACCUUAGGGCCUCUUGCCAUCGGAUGUGCCCAGAUGGGAUUAGCUAGUAGGUGGGGUAAAGGCUCACCUAGGCGACGAUCCCUAGCUGGUCUGAGAGGAUGACCAGCCACACUGGAACUGAGACACGGUCCAGACUCCUACGGGAGGCAGCAGUGGGGAAUAUUGCACAAUGGGCGCAAGCCUGAUGCAGCCAUGCCGCGUGUAUGAAGAAGGCCUUCGGGUUGUAAAGUACUUUCAGCGGGGAGGAAGGGAGUAAAGUUAAUACCUUUGCCCAUUGACGUUACCCGCAGAAGAAGCACCGGCUAACUCCGUG
rnacentral:rRNA from 1 species